GAUGAACGCUAGCGGCAGGCCUAAUACAUGCAAGCUGAACGGUAAAUGUUGUAGCAAUACGAUAUGAGAGUAGCGUAAGGGUGCGUAACACGUAUGCAAUCUACCCGCAACAGGAGGAUAGCUCCCCGAAAGGGGAAUUAAUACUCCAUAAGAUCACGAGAGGGCAUCUGAUUGUGAUUAAACUCCAAGGGGUUGCGGAUGAGCAUGCGUCUGAUUAGUUAGUUGGUGAGGUAACGGCUCACCAAGACGAUGAUCAGUAGGGGAACUGAGAGGUUGAUCCCCCACACUGGCACUGAGAUACGGGCCAGACUCCUACGGGAGGCAGCAGUAGGGAAUAUUGGUCAAUGGGUGAGAGCCUGAACCAGCCAUGCCGCGUGCAGGAAGAAAGCCUUCUGGGUUGUAAACUGCUUUUGCCAGGGGAUAAAAUACCCAUGCGUGGGAAAUUGAAGGUACCUGGUGAGUAAGCCACGGCUAACUACGUGCCAGCCGCCGCCGUAAUAC
rnacentral:rRNA from 1 species